AAAAAACUUAUUUCGUUCAUUUAAGGUUACUCUUUGGCGCCACGGAGAGGAGACGGAUGGAAGCAUUCUGAGGAAUAAUCCAGAAAUUAGCACCAAAAAGAACCGCGAUGGAAGGGACCUCCCCGGAGAGCUGAUUAAAAUGUUUCCUGUCGGAGAGCUGGCAGGGAUUGCUGCGCAAGAUGAAUGUGGUGUUGAUGGUCUCCAGUAUGAGCCCCCAUUGAUCAUAUUGUGGCUGGUGGCACGGGACCUGAGGAGACGGGCACUCAGGUUGCUAAUCAAUGCUGGAUCCUCUCACCCUUCCCCCUCCCACCAAUCCCAGCAUGAUCAAGUUGCUGAGCGCUCUGUGUGCCACUGAAAGACUACUAACUGACUGAGAGACGCAACAAUAUUGACCAAACAUUGAGGAAAAGGAUUUGGUAUCUUGAUGAAGGUGGUGUGUAACGUACAUAGGACCGGUCUGUUUCUGUUUGUGUGCUUUUCAUAGCUUAUGUCCGUCCACCUUAUCAGGUUUCCACAUGCUCAGUAAUUGCUCCUGUGGCCUCCAUACACUGGAUGGUUGAGAAACCACUCAUCUCUUUUGUGGUUUCAUGUUUGUUUUUAUACAUUUUCACACUGAACAAUGGCUUUCUCCCCUGUGCAAUUUUUCAUGAUCUCUUCUCAUUUAAACUGAAGCAGUAGCCCACAGCACAUUUCUGGAUUUGCCAUGGCCAGGAUUUUACUGUGUUCAGUGUGAGAACAGUCCUUUGUUUUAACAAGUGAGAGAGUUGUUUAUACUAUAGUGCAGGGACAAAAGUAUCUAACCUGACAGAGCUCAAACACUGGUGCCAGAACAAAAGCAAAAGGUAUUUCUCCCAUGUUAAAACAUAAACAUUGUCUUUUGCCGUUGUUACAUUCAUGGCUUCUGCUGUUAUUGACCAGGUAGCAGCAGACAUGGUAACAACCACAUUAUAUCAUCAAACUAAGUCACUUCUAAUAAAAACUGCUCUCAUUUCCUCUCUAUUUCACAUCCAACCUGUUUGCAGUGGUUUAUGCUAGCUCUAUAUUUUCAUUGUUUCAGUAGAAAUGAAAAUGAAAACAGUUCACUGUGGCAGUACAUAUAUAUAUUUUUGUAGGGUGUUUAUAAUAGAUAUAUGUUGUAAUUGUUUUUCCUGCAAAUUCUUUAAAUGCUCUAAUUCUGUGACACAUUCUGGGUGGGAGUAACUGCAGAAGCUCUGGUGUGGAUGUUAUUGUGGUGGAGUUCUGCGUCACUGGUGUUCUAGAAAGCGCUGAUCUUUGUGAAGUGAUACAAUGUCGCUGCCCGGAACAUCAGAGGGAUGCCUGUAAUGGCUAUGUUGACUGGCCCCUGACACUAUGACCUUGUGAUCCUGGGUCAUUGAAACUGUGGUGACAGCUUCCAUGGCAACAGAGCACUUAAUGUGGGGAGAAUGGGCUCCAGGCACUGAAGUGGAGGGGAGGGGGUAGGGUGGUGUGGGGUGGGCUGUUUGUCUCUUUCCCCAUCUGGCCUGAAUAAUGGCUUACCUUCUUUAUGCAGACCUGAACCUCAGUAGGCUACCAGUUGUGUGCCAUCAAAUCAUCUGGAGAAUGUCCUCAGCCUUACCUGUGCUGGUGCAUCUUGUGAAAUAUAAAUGUUCCACCUUUACAAUAAAUGGUCAUCCUUCAGCUGCAUGUCUGCUGCUGUCUUUACAGAGCUCUAAUGCAUGAUUUGUCUUGUCUUCCUCAUUUCUAACCUUUGAAAAACUAUUUAAUAUGCUCUGCUUCUUAUGUUCUUAUCUUCAGCUUUUUCUUCAUUUUAAUGUUUGUUGACCUUGAUCAGCACACAAGUCCAGCUGUAUGUCCAGCAUCCUCUGUGGUUUUCCAAUCACUGCAAAAUUAAGAGAUUUGUGGUUCAAAAUGGUCACUGGUCACUAGACUGCCUUGUGACUACCUUUAUCUUCAACACUUAUGGCAUUAAGCAUGAAGGAAUUUGUGUCGGCUGUCUUGGAUUCAGGAAUAUAGUGGAUUUUUUCUACAAGCUCGCCAUUAUUCAGGGUCAGGGGUCAAAAGAAUUCCUCUUUCCCUGGGCAGGAUGCCUAAUGGCUGACAGAUGUGUAUAAAUUCUAACUGUUACUUGUUUGGAGUGAAACGGUAGGCCUUUUUUUCCACAGCCAUUGGGUGUAAUCAGUAAUGUUUCUCCUGGAAAAGCGCAUUCCUCUGGCCAGUGGUGAAUGCGCUUCCCACAGAGGGUCAACAGUGGUCUCCUGUCAGCGGCAAAGCGUGUCCAGAUGGCCGGACCCCCGCACUCCAGCUCCUGCAAGUGGAGGCCUGUGUGGCUCGGGUCAUGUCUGACUGGACCCUUUUGACUGCGCCAGACCCACUGCUCUCAGGUUACGGGGAGGCAUGCACCAGUCAUACCAAUCUUCUUCUUUUUUUUUGAGAGAGAGAAAGAGUGUGUAAACUUUUAAGCCAAUUUGUUUAAGCACUUUUAUUGAGUACAUGUCACCAUUUCAUAGUCUGCAUUACAGUAGAGGACACAAAUGUUAUAGUGUGUCUUUAUUGGCCUGUUACAUUUUCAUAUAUCCUGCCUAUCUACUUUGAGCAUGAAGAGCCUCUACUUUCACGUAUGUGCGAAACAUGACUGAUUGAUUUAAACACUCUAUUUAGAAUUUAAUUGGUAUGAUUUGUUCUUAUGGAUAAACACACGUUGAUCUGUGCUUUAUGAUGUUGUGUCACUUCAUGUCAUUUUAUGCACAUUUAUCUUAUUUAACUUACUUAACUUAAUUUAAAUUACUUAACUUUAGUCACAUUGUUAAUUAACUUGAUGAGUUGAAAUUAUUCUAUCUGACAUAAAACCUUGUAAUUUUGCUGUAUGGAAUAAACAAUGAUUUAAAUAAGAGAAUAUAGCCACUCCACCCCCCUUGUCUCUCACUCUCUCCCUCUCCUCUCUCUUUCUCUCUCUCUCUCUCUCUCUCUCUCUCUCUCUCUCACACACACACACACACACCAAGGCAUGGCUAAUUCUGGUUUAGACCCCUGCGCAGAUGAUAACGGUCCAGAAAUUGGCUCUGUUUCAAACAGUUAAAAAGGCUCCUACCAAAUGCAUUUACGAAAUGAAUGUCCUUAUUACGACUGUUGAUUUACAGGUUGUUAAACUGUGCAUUAGAAAGCCAUUGCCUUGAUCAUAACUCUGAGACAUUGACACAUUAGUUUUUUAUAGCUUGUUCAAGAGAGCUUGUUUAUGGAUGCACCCUCUGCUGGCUGCUGAAUUUACAGAGGAUAUAUAAGUGAUAUUUGGAAUGUGUUUUCUGCUAAAUAAAUAUAAUUGGCUAUUUAAAUAAAGUUGUAACAAUGAUAAUAAAUAUUGAGAAUUUUCUGCCCUUCAACACCAGCAGUGAUGUCUCCAGUAAAACAGUUCUAACAGUGGAUUG